rnacentral:rRNA from 1 species
GUAGGGAAUAUUGGGCAAUGGUCGGAAGACUGACCCAGCCAUGCCGCGUGCAGGAAGACGGCCCUCUGGGUUGUAAACUGCUUUUAUCUGGGAAGAAAAAGGCCAUGCGUGGCAAAUUGCCGGUACCAGAUGAAUAAGCACCGGCUAACUCUGUGCCAGCAGCCGCGGUAAUACGGAGGGUGCGAGCGUUGUCCGGAUUUAUUGGGUUUAAAGGGUGCGUAGGCGGCUGAUUAAGUCAGCGGUGAAAGACUUCGGCUUAACCGGAGCAGUGCCGUUGAUACUGGUUGGCUUGAGUGUCGGAGGGGUACAUGGAAUUGAUGGUGUAGCGGUGAAAUGCAUAGAUACCAUCAGGAACACCGAUAGCGAAGGCAUUGUACUGGCCGACAACUGACGCUGAUGCACGAAAGUGUGGGGAUCGAACAGGAUUAGAUACCCCUGUAGUCC